rnacentral:rRNA from 1 species
GAUGAACGCUGGCGGCGUGCCUAACACAUGCAAGUCGAGCGGAAAGACGCGGCUUUUGCUCGGCUCACGUGAGGGGCGGGCGUGUGAGUCACAUGAGUAUCCCCUACCUAUCUGACUGAGAUCACUACGGGAAAGCGGAUCAUACACCGGAUAAUAUAUUGAACCACAUGGGUCAUUAGAAAAAGACGGCUUUGCUGUCUCUACUAGAGGCUUACCCGCUGUAUUAGCUAGUAGGUAGGGUAACGGCAUACCAAGGCGAGGAUGCGUAGCAGACCUGCGAGGGUGAUCGGCCACACGAGAGCUGAGACACGGUCCAGACUCCUACGGGAGGCAGCAGUAGGGAAUGUUCGGCAGUGGGCGAAAGCCUGACGCAGCAAGGCCGCGUGAGUGAAGAAGGUCUUCGGAUCGUAAAGCUCUGUUACUAGGGAAGAACAGAUGUGUAAGGAGACGUGGACGUCUUGACGGUACCGAGUCAAGAAGCACCGGCUAACUACGUG